GUCCGGAAUUAUUGGGCGUAAAGAGCUCGUAGGCGGUUUGUCGCGUCUGCCGUGAAAAUCCAGGGCUUAACUCUGGACGUGCGGUGGGUACGGGCAGACUAGAGUGCGGUAGGGGUAACUGGAAUUCCUGGUGUAGCGGUGGAAUGCGCAGAUAUCAGGAGGAACACCGAUGGCGAAGGCAGGUUACUGGGCCGUUACUGACGCUGAGGAGCGAAAGCAUGGGGAGCGAACAGGAUUAGAUACCCUGGUAGUCCAUGCCGUAAACGUUGGGCACUAGGUGUGGGGCCUUUUCCAUGGGUUCUGCGCCGUAGCUAACGCAUUAAGUGCCCCGCCUGGGGAGUACGGCCGCAAGGCUAAAACUCAAAGGAAUUGACGGGGGUCCCGCACAAGCGGCGGAGCAUGCGGAUUAAUUCGACGCAACGCGAAGAACCUUACCAAGGCUUGACAUACACCGGGAUUAUGCAGAGAUGUGUGAGUCUUCGGACUGGUGUACAGGUGGUGCAUGGUUGUCGUCAGCUCGUGUCGUGAGAUGUUGGGUUAAGUCCCGCAACGAGCGCAACCCUUGUCUUGUGUUGCCAGCACGUUAUGGUGGGGACUCACGAGAGACUGCCGGGGUUAACUCGGAGGAAGGUGGGAUGACGUCAAAUCAUCAUGCCCCUUAUGUCUUGGGCUUCACGCAUGCUACAAUGGCAGGUACAGAGUGUUGCGAGCCUGUGAGGGUGAGCGAAUCACUUAAAGCUUGUCUCAGUUCGGAUUGGGGUCUGCAACUCGACCCCAGUGAAGUCGGAGUCGCUAGUAUCGCAGAUCGAGCAACGCUGCGG
rnacentral:rRNA from 1 species